GAUGAACGCUGGCGGCGUGCUUAACACAUGCAAGUCGAACGAAGCACUUUAUUUGAUUUCCUUCGGGACUGAUUAUUUUGUGACUGAGUGGCGGACGGGUGAGUAACGCGUGGGUAACCUGCCUUGUACAGGGGGAUAACAGUUGGAAACGGCUGCUAAUACCGCAUAAGCGCACAGCAUCGCAUGAUGCAGUGUGAAAAACUCCGGUGGUAUAAGAUGGACCCGCGUUGGAUUAGCUAGUUGGUGAGGUAACGGCCCACCAAGGCGACGAUCCAUAGCCGACCUGAGAGGGUGACCGGCCAAAAUGGGACUGAGACACGGCCCAAACUCCUACGGGAGGCAGCAGUGGGGAAUAUUGCACAAUGGGCGAAAGCCUGAUGAAGCGACGCCGCGUGAGCGAAGAAGUAUUUAGGUAUGUAAAGCUCUAUCAGCAGGGAAGAUAAUGACGGUACCCGACUAAGAAGCACCGGCUAAAUACGUG
rnacentral:rRNA from 1 species